rnacentral:rRNA from 1 species
CGUGGGUAACCUGCCCAAGAGACUGGGAUAACACCUGGAAACAGAUGCUAAUACCGGAUAACAACACUAGACGCAUGUCUAGAGUUUAAAAGAUGGUUCUGCUAUCACUCUUGGAUGGACCCGCGGUGCAUUAGCUAGUUGGUAAGGUAACGGCUUACCAAGGCAAUGAUGCAUAGCCGAGUUGAGAGACUGAUCGGCCACAUUGGGACUGAGACACGGCCCAAACUCCUACGGGAGGCAGCAG